ACGCUCGACACCUACGAGGCAGCAGUGAGGAAUAUUGGUCAAUGGGCGCUAGCCUGAACCAGCCAAGUAGCGUGAAGGAUGAAGGCUCUAUGGGUCGUAAACUUCUUUUAUAUAAGAAUAAAGUGCAGUAUGUAUACUGUUUUGUAUGUAUUAUAUGAAUAAGGAUCGGCUAACUCCGUGCCAACAGCCGCGGUAAUCUGAGGCGGGCGUGGCGAAGGC
rnacentral:rRNA from 1 species